rnacentral:rRNA from 1 species
CCCCUUACCGGGCCAUCCCAUGCGUGCAUGGGAAAGACAUGCUAAUAUGAGUAAUAAGAGAGCCAAAACUCUCUCUUGACACAUGUGUACCUCGGAUCGAACCCGCACCGAACAAUAACGGCCCCAAAUAAAGAGGGUUGUGAAUGACACCAAAGUUAACAAGAAAAGACUUCAUACUAUACCGUUAACCCUACACAGGUGUGUUUUCAAGGAAAGACCAAAAGAAAAAGAAGGAACUCGGCAAACCUAUAAGCCUCGCCUGUUUACCAAAAACAUCGCCUCUUGCAAAAUUAAAGAAUAAGAGGUCCCGCCUGCCCUGUGACUAUAUGUUUAACGGCCGCGGUAUUUUAACCGCGCGAAGGUAGCGCAAUCACUUGUCUUUUAAAUGAAGACCUGUAUGAAUGGCUAGACGAGGGCUUAACUGUCUCCUUUUUCAUGUCAAUGAAAUUGAUCUCCCCGUGCAGAGGCGGGGAUAACCCCAUAAGACGAGAAGACCCUAUGGAGCUUUAGACACUAAAGAAGACCAUGUCACUAACCCUUUGAUACAGGACUAAACUAGUGGAUACCUUCCCUACUGUCUUUGGUUGGGGCGACCGCGGAGAACUACAAAACCCCCGCGUGGAAUAGGCACACCGUUCCUUCAAUUAAGAGCUACAGCUCUAACUACCAGUAAUGCUGACCACCAAGAUCCGGCAAAGCCGAUUAACGGACCGAGUUACCCUAGGGAUAACAGCGCAAUCCCCUUCUAGAGUUCAUAUCGACAAGGGGGUUUACGACCUCGAUGUUGGAUCAGGACAUCCUAAUGGUGCAGCCGCUAUUAAGGGUCCGUUUGUUCAACGGUUAAAGUCCUACGUGAUCUGAGUUCAGACCGGA